GAUGGUUGGCAUCUCCUCUGACAGAGACGGGAUUUGACCUUCGGGUCUUUGAACACAUCCGGUUAAGGCUCUUCACAUUCGUGUGGAUCUAACCCAAUUUUUUU
rnacentral:ncRNA from 1 species